GAGGAAUAGAUCUAGAGCUGUAACUGGAAAACAAGCAUUAAUGGCAGAUCAAACCUCUCAAUCUUCUUCUUCUUCAUCUGCAUCUUCUUACACAAAAUCACAUCAAAAUUCCUUCUUUGGAUCUGCAAGAUUCAAAGCUUUUUCAUCAACAACUGAUCACUCUGUUAUUAGCCCCACCUCUGUUCUUGAUUCCAAACCAUUUUUCUCUUUACAAAAUCCCUUCAAACCAAAUCCCAAUAAUACUCCCAAAAAGAAAAUUGCAAUUUUCCCAGAAAACAAUCACAAAAUUUCAGGCCCAAAAAAGCCCAUUGGGCUUGCUUUAAUUGAGGACAAAAAUGAUUCCAAGCCCACUAAGAGUGUCAUUUUUAGUGCUAAACUUCGUGUUCAAAUCCCUGCGCUGGAAUCCACCGUGGAC
rnacentral:misc_RNA from 1 species